AUUGAACGCUAGCGGGAUGCUUUACACAUGCAAGUCGAACGGCAGCGCGGACUUCGGUCUGGCGGCGAGUGGCGAACGGGUGAGUAAUGUAUCGGAACGUGCCCAGUAGCGGGGGAUAACUACGCGAAAGCGUAGCUAAUACCGCAUACGCCCUACGGGGGAAAGCAGGGGAUCGUAAGACCUUGCACUAUUGGAGCGGCCGAUAUCGGAUUAGCUAGUUGGUGAGGUAACGGCUCACCAAGGCGACGAUCCGUAGCUGGUUUGAGAGGACGACCAGCCACACUGGGACUGAGACACGGCCCAGACUCCUACGGGAGGCAGCAGUGGGGAAUUUUGGACAAUGGGGGCAACCCUGAUCCAGCCAUCCCGCGUGUGCGAUGAAGGCCUUCGGGUUGUAAAGCACUUUUGGCAGGAAAGAAACGUCGCGGGCUAAUACCCCGUGGAACUGACGAUACCUGCAGAAUAAGCACCGGCUAACUACGUG
rnacentral:rRNA from 1 species